rnacentral:rRNA from 1 species
CCUACGGGAGGCAGCAGUGGGGAAUAUUGCACAAUGGGCGCAAGCCUGAUGCAGCAACGCCGCGUGAGGGACGACGGCCUUCGGGUUGUAAACCUCUUUUAGUAGGGAAGAAGCGAAAGUGACGGUACCUGCAGAAAAAGCACCGGCUAACUACGUGCCAGCAGCCGCGGUAAUACGUAGGGUGCAAGCGUUAUCCGGAAUUAUUGGGCGUAAAGAGCUCGUAGGCGGUUUGUCGCGUCUGCUGUGAAAACUGGAGGCUCAACCUCCAGCCUGCAGUGGGUACGGGCAGACUAGAGUGCGGUAGGGGAGAUUGGAAUUCCUGGUGUAGCGGUGGAAUGCGCAGAUAUCAGGAGGAACACCGAUGGCGAAGGCAGAUCUCUGGGCCGUAACUGACGCUGAGGAGCGAAAGCAUGGGGAGCGAACAGGAUUAGAUACCCUGGUAGUCCAUGCCGUAAACGUUGGGAACUAGAUGUAGGGACCAUUCCACGGUUUCUGUGUCGCAGCUAACGCAUUAAGUUCCCCGCCUGGGGAGUACGGCCGCGAGACGAACUACAAGAAGUAGACGCGUGAGACGUGCGACGACGACGACGAGGGAGAGG